GACGAACGCUGGCGGCGUGCUUAACACAUGCAAGUCGAACGGGAUCCAAAGGCUUUUUGUUUUUGGUGAGAGUGGCGAACGGGCGAGUAACACGUGAGUAACCUGCCCCCUUCUUUUGGAUAACCGCAUGAAAGUGUGGCUAAUACAGGAUAUUCCAGGCUGGUCGCAUGAUUGGUUUGGGAAAUGGUUUGGUCUGGUGGGGGAUGGGCUCGCGGCCUAUCAGCUUGUUGGUGGGGUGAUGGCCUACCAAGGCGGUAACGGGUAGCCGGCCUGAGAGGGUGGGCGGUCACACUGGGACUGAGAUACGGCCCAGACUCCUACGGGAGGCAGCAGUGGGGGAUUUUGCACAAUGGGCGCAAGCCUGAUGCAGCGACGCCGCGUGAGGGAUGAAGGCCUUCGGGUUGUAAACCUCUUUCGCUGGGUUGAAAGGCCAUGCUUUGGGUGUGGUUGAUUUGAACUGGUAAAGAAGUACCGGCUAACUACGUG
rnacentral:rRNA from 1 species